AGGGCUGACUGUGGCAGGGGACACUCUCCUGCUGGCUCUCUCUGUCCACACUUAGCUGGCUCCUGUCCUCAGGUGCAUGGCCACACCCUCGCACCCAACCUUGAUCCUCUGAUGGGGAAGGUCCCAGGACUUGUCUGCUGGGACAGGCCUCACCCCCAAGAGCUCUGGGCAGUACCGAGAAGCAAACCUGACAGAUUUCUCCAGAACAGUGGCCAUCCAUGGGAUGAGUGAAAGCCUCUUUCUAUUCCAGCAUGCUGGAACCCAACAAAUUCCAGUUUGAAAGUGGCCAGUAACUGGACUUCUUUGGUUCUGUCCAGAAGCCUUGAAGAAGAAAGGAGAUUUGAAAAAAAAAAAAAAGAGAGAGAGUCAAGGAACUGCAGACAUCACGGGGAGCCUUCUUGGCAGGUCCGCAGGGUGGCUUGACACAAGCCUAGAUACCCUCUGUGCA
ensembl:processed_transcript